rnacentral:rRNA from 1 species
AUCGAACGCUGGCGGCAUGCCUUACACAUGCAAGUCGAACGGUAACGGGCCUUCGGGUGCCGACGAGUGGCGAACGGGUGAGUAAUGUAUCGGAACGUACCUUUCAGUGGGGGAUAACGUAGCGAAAGUUACGUUAAUACCGCAUAUUCUGUGAGCAGGAAAGCAGGGGAUCGCAAGACCUUGCGCUGAUUGAGCGGCCGAUGUCAGAUUAGCUAGUUGGUGAGGUAAAGGCUCACCAAGGCGACGAUCUGUAGCGGGUCUGAGAGGAUGAUCCGCCACACUGGAACUGGGACACGGUCCAGACUCCUACGGGAGGCAGCAGUGGGGAAUUUUGGACAAUGGGGGCAACCCUGAUCCAGCCAUGCCGCGUGAGUGAAGAAGGCCUUCGGGUUGUAAAGCUCUUUCGGCCGGGAAGAAAUCGCACGGGCUAAUACCCUGUGUGGAUGACGGUACCGGAAUAAGAAGCACCGGUUAACUACGUGCCAGCCGCCGCGGUAAAAC